ensembl:lncRNA
CGGGGCCGGCGGCGGCGGCUGCGCGGCUCAGGCGGCCGUGGGCCCGGCCGCCGCGCUCACCCGCUCGCUCGUGGCCGCCGCGGCCGCCGCCGCCUCCUCCGUCUCGUCGUCGGCCGCGCUGGGGACGCUGCACCCGGGGCCCGCCCUGUCCAGCGUGGAGAGCUUCGCGGCUAGGAUUUCCAAUUGUUAAUAACGCGGCGCCGGCGCGCCCGAGCGGGAGAAGCUCGGCCCGGAGAGAGGAGGCUGGAACCGAGGAGGUGCGGACGCCGCCGCGGCCGGGGGAGAGGGGUCAGCCGGCCGACCCCAGCGGCCCUGCCCCGCUGGCCUCUCGCGGCCUGUGUCACGCGUGGAUCUGAGUCAUGAAGGGAGCCGCGGGGCCAAACUGUGUGUAUCGUUACUAUUCGCAUGAUGCUUGGAUGUCCCGAGAGCGGGAAGUACCGGCUCGGCCCUCUCUCUGUCCGGAUUCCCGCCUCUUUGAGACAGGGGCGGACAGCGCCACCUCCCAGGCCGUCCGAGCUCCGAAGGGGGCGGCGAGCAGGCCCCGGCCCUCCCUCCGCGCCGCCCUCGCUGCGGCCCCAGCUGCGCUCCCGCCGCGCCCUCCCGAGAGACGAGAGACUGGGCGCAUCGCGAGCCCCUGAGCCCUCAGGACAGGUAACCCCGGCCGCCUGCCUCGGCCUUGAGUUUUGCGUCCCGCGAGUUCCGCUCCCCGCCCUCCGGGUUGGGGGUCCCCCGUGGACUUCGCUGGCCCAGCGAGGCUGGCCUGCGGACGCACGAGGUGGGGGAAGCGCAGGCCGCGGGGCAGGCGAGCAGCGGGCGUGGGCCUCGGGCUGUGGGCCGCAGGCCAGGGCCGCGGGGCAGGCGAGGAGUGGACGCUGGGCCUCGGGCCGCGGGCCGCGCCCGGUCAGGCCACGCGGGCGAGCAGGUGCUGGAACAAAGGCCGCCGGGCGCCCAGCUACCGCGGCCUUUGAUGGGCCAGCACGUCUCCUCCGGGGGCUCCUCAUUCGCAUGCAAAUCCAGCUCGGGUCCCCUUUUCUUUGAAGGCAAACAGAAGGAUGUUUGUGUGUUUGUAAGGACGAAGUCUGCUUGAACGAGCCUUCCUCAAAAGCCUGGGUCUCGAAAAAUAAACCAGUUGGACAAACAUUGGCCACCAGCUCUCCUCCUCCCAGCUACAAAGUGUGGAUUUGAUACAACUCAUUAACCCGACGCUUUUCUCCCCUUCUCCUUGUUUCUCUGCUCAUCAAACGCCCCGUAGAGCCUGGAGACAAAUGACCGGAGGGCAGGCGGGAGGGAAUUGCAGUUAAUAGGGAGAGGGCUAUAUUGGGGCUAAUGGUUCAGGCGGCUCCCGAGCGAGCAGGACCACACAAAAAGGAGCCUCUCCAUUCAGGGCUCUGUUGUGCUGCCCAGAUGUAAUCUGCAGCUAGAUUUAGCCGAAUGUUAUCUAUUGCCGAGGUAAUGAAGCCCUUAUGGGUUGAAUUGCUCCUUGUCCCACACACGGUGUCGUGACCUUAGAUCGUUUCUUGGUUGAUUUCUUUUUUCUCCAUUGGGCAAUUAUUUUAUUUCUUUAAAAUAAGCUAGCGCGUCUGCUCAAUAACGUGUUUCCUCUCCAUCGCUAUCCCGUGCAUUUAUUUGAGAGCC